AAAACAAAUCAAUAUCAUUAAUCAUUUUCUAUAGCGUUGAUAAUACAAAUCAUUGAUUUCAUAAUCUUCUAAUUGAUGUUGCAAUCAAUAUCAUUUAUAUUACAUAAAGCAGUAUCACCAACGUUCAAGGUCCCACAUAGCUUGGUAGGAUCCAUAAACUGGAUUAAAAAAUACUUACUUCUUAAUAGAUAUCCCAAAUCACAUUUGUAAUUGACAUAUAUUGAAUUCAGGACACAUUAACGAGUCUUCCAUUACAGUCGUGAAAACAGAAGAAAAAUGGUGGGAAUGAAAUAAUUUAUAUUGACGUAGCAACUUUGAUGAGGUUUCAAUUUAUUAUAAUUUAUAUGUAAUCCUUUUACAUAUUUUCCAUAUUAUGUUAAGAUAUUGUUUGGAAUAAAAUGCACAAUUAUUUCAUACGAUGGAUAUAUUUCAAAUUAUUUUGUGAUAAUGUGGAAUCGAUGUGUGUGAUUAGAUGCACGGUAUAUGAAAUCUUUGAACAUGUAUCACUUGAAGUCAAAUGUCAAUUUAAUGUGAAUAUGUUAUAUUGGCACAAUUAUGUAUAGGCUUAUGUGUACAUAGUACAUGUAUGUGGUAUCAUUGAAUCGCUAUGUCGCAAAUUGAUAUUCUUGGAGAAUUUCGUAUACAGGUUCACAUGUAAAUAUACAUCAUUGAAAGUAAAUUUACAUGUAUCAUUGAACCGUUGUGUGGCGUUUCGAUAUCCCAGUAGGAUGUCCAAAUAUUAAGAUGUAUUAAAUUAAAAUGGUUAAUAUAAAAAAUACUGAAAAAGGGGUCAUCUAUUUUACAUUCAUUUUCAAUUCGGUAUAUUAUGUCAACAUUCAAAAAUUGGAUAUCAAUUGUUACGUGACAAAUGCUUCAGUGGCCGGGUGUGUGCAUGAUUUUCUCCCAAAAUUAAACAUAAGAAUUUCAUCUGCGGCGUAAAACACAAAUGUACAUUUAGAACUCGAUGCAAAAUGGCAUAUCCAGAUUUAUCAAAUCAGACAAAGCGAGCAAACAUGACUUAACAAACAUUACUAAUUGAAAACUGUCAUAAAAUUAACAUCACACCAACAUCCUAAAAAAAUCAAAACAAGCCAUUCAAGAAAAACAUCGGGGAAAAACUAUUCCCAAGCAAUACUAAUUGAAAUCUGCCACAAGAAUAGCGUCACACCAAUGUACUAAAAACAUCAAAACAAACUAUUCCCACAAAAUUAUCUACAAAUCAAUGGAAUAAAUAAUAUCAAGAAAUUGAUUUUGUGGAAUAAUGAAAGGGAUUUCGAUGCUUAAAAUCUGUAUAAUAUUAAAUUUUGGUGUGAUUUUUGGUAUUUCUUGAGUUGAGAUGAUAUGGGAGGAAUGUGAAUGGACACCAAUUUGGAGAUUAUUACAUUUUGUUAGGGGCUUGUUUGGGGGAGCACUUGAUUUAAUACGUGUGUGAGUUGUUAAAAUUUAACAGUUUUCAGUUUACAGUAAUAAUUCAGUAUUUAUGGGGAAAAAUAAGAUGACAUUUAAUAUUUGAAUAUUAAUUAAAUAACAGUUACUUGGUGCAAUUUCCUCUGAAAACAUCCCAAAAAAAUCUCAUAGCCCAGCCCAAAUUGCCACAGACAGUGCCCAUGGGCAAAUGAGUCCAACUUCCACUGCCAUUCAGGUGUCCAUAGGUGGUCUUGAUGAAGAAGAGUACACGUUUUAUAAAUUUUUUUCGAUGAAACAUUCUUUGAUAAUUUAGAUUGCUUAAUAAGCCAAAAAUAGAAAUACCGUAGUUUAG
rnacentral:lncRNA from 1 species